UUCAAUAUUGCUGAAACGCGUACCCUUUCCUUCUCAUUCUCUCGUACGCGAAAUCUUUCUCACUCAAAACCCUAAAACGAUUUCCCUUCCUCUUUCUCACUCAAAAAUCCUUCAAAUCCGCUGCACGUCAUAAAUCUUCUAUGCUGCACAUUGUGUAACAUCAGUUUGUCAUCAAGUUUGAACUCUUCUCUCACAAACCCCAACCGAGCAGCAGCCGUCGCCGUUCUUUCCUUGAUAUCUCGUCGUUGGUUGUGUCUGUUGAACUCAAGAACGCAGAUUCUGUUGAUUCUUCGUCUUCACCCUCUCUGAACCAUAAGGAAUCAAGUAUGAAAGAAACAACUAUUCAUCUUCCUCUAAAAAGGGCGUGAAUCCCCAUCUCACAACCAAAGGGGCAAACUCUAAUUUCACAUGAUUUGGUCAUGCAUGUGUUAAAUUAAUACAUCACUGCAUCUUCUGAGUUGAUCAAGGAUUAAGGUGAGAAUAAUUAGACUUUCUCUUUCCCUCUGAUUUCCCCAUUUCUUUUGUUUAGAUGUUUCAUAAAAACUCACCAAUUUCCAUUUUGGUAAUUGCAUGAGAAAUCUAUGGUUUGAAAGGGGUUUAAGGACCAUAAGAACAGUGGGUAAUUGGAAGAUGCAAAAGCUUCAAGUAGAGGGAGGCAGUAGCAUCAUGGGAGAUUUGGAGAACUAGAUUGGUGAAAUAGGAAUAGGGAAUUGGAAGAAGUAUGUGAAACCCGUAUUCUGGACAGGGUCUUACUAAAACGAAAAUUCCCUAUACGGAUUUGAAGUACCUUGUAAAUUCUGCAUUUUGGCGAACUCCGAAGAUGUCGAUAGUGCGGUUCAACUUCAAUUUCAGGAUAAGUUCCUCCAUUUCCCUCUGAGACUGCUUUAGCUAUUGUUGAAGAAGAGCUUGGAGCUUCUGUAGGUGAUAUCUUUGAUCAGUUUGACUACGAACCAAUAGCUGCUGCAAGUCUUGCAGCGGUAGUACAAAGAUGGGACCUCGUAAGAAUUCAAUGACUUAUGCAGAGAAAGGAGUGCUUCAUUUUGGAUUUGUAUGUUUUGAUUGAGUAUGAAGAAUUCGGUAUUUCAAACUUCUUAUAUGAGCAACAACAGUCUUUGAGGUGAUUGCUGCAUCUGGAGCUGUAAAGCAUGAAGCUUUUGUUGAGGAAGUGAAAAAAUUGUUUACUAAGUUGUCAACUAAUCCCUCCACAGCAUCUCAGUUGGUCGAAAAAGAACCAGCAGUUUUCACUGGUUCCGAGGUUCGAAUGCUCGAUGAUGAUAUUCCCCUUGCACAAUUUGCAGUAGCUUUUGAAGGUGCUUCUUGGAAGGAUCCAGAUUCAAUUCCUCUGAUGAUUAUGCAAGCAAUGCUGGGUUCAUGGCACAAAAUGAACCUGACAAUGGAUUUUUGCUUAUGCUUUAUAUUAAGAAGCUUUGGCUGUAUUCAUUGUCCAAAAUGGAGAGAGCAUUGAUGAGGUUACUUGGAAAUUCAACAUCACCAGCUUCAUGUCGUUUUCAUUAGUGGUAAAUUAGUUGGUUCUAUGGAUAGAGUUUUGACUUUUCAUAUUAAUGGGUUGUAUGCUUGGAAUUAGACUAGAUAAUUAGUGAUAAUGUUAAGCAUUGACUUUUAAUGUGUUGAAUGUAACUUGUUAGGAAUUGACAAUGACUUGUGGAAAAUAAUAUUCGGAAUUAUGUCAA